rnacentral:rRNA from 1 species
UACGUAGGGUGCAAGCGUUGUCCGGAAUCAUUGGGCGUAAAGCGCGUGUAGGCGGUCCGGUAAGUCCGCUGUGAAAGUCGGGGGCUCAACCCUCGAAUGCCGGUGGAUACUGUCGGGCUAGAGUGCGGAAGAGGCGAGUGGAAUUCCUGGUGUAGCGGUGAAAUGCGCAGAUAUCGGGAGGAACACCAAUUGCGAAGGCAGCUCGCUGGUACGUUACUGACACUGAGACGCGAAAGCGUGGGGAGCAAACAGG